UACAUACUCCCUCCGUCCGAAAAUACUUGUCGGAGGAAUGGGUGUAUCUAGACGUAUUUUAGUUUUAGAUACAUUUAUUUUUAUCCAUUUCUCCGACAAGUAUUUCCGGACGGAGGGAGUACUUA
rnacentral:pre_miRNA from 1 species